rnacentral:tRNA from 1 species
GCCCCUGUAGCUCAGAGGAUAGAGCACCGGUUUCCUAAACCGGGUGUCGGAUGUUCGAGUCAUCUCAGGGGCGCCA